rnacentral:lncRNA from 1 species
UGGAAUUAGACGACACACAUGUCCAGUUCGGCAUAUAUAAAGUUAAGAGGUAUCUUGGUAAUGUUAAUUCUAUUUUUGCUAUUGAUGUUGUUGACUCUACAGUGCAGGAAUCUCUUGAGCAAAUAUACAAGGAGAAUUUGAGGGCUGGAAUGGAGCAAAAUCAGGAUCUGAAGGAUGCUCCUAAUGAAGAAUUGAAAUU